rnacentral:rRNA from 1 species
AUUGAACGCUGGCGGCAUGCCUUACACAUGCAAGUCGAACGACAGCAUGGAGAGCUUGCUCUCUGAUGGCGAGUGGCGAACGGGUGAGUAAUGCAUCGGAACGUACCGUGUAAUGGGGGAUAACGUAGCGAAAGUUACGCUAAUACCGCAUACGACCUGAGGGUGAAAGCAGGGGAUCGCAAGACCUUGCGUUAUACGAGCGGCCGAUGUCAGAUUAGCUAGUUGGUGAGGUAAAGGCUCACCAAGGCGACGAUCUGUAGCGGGUCUGAGAGGAUGAUCCGCCACACUGGGACUGUGACACGGCCCAGACUCCUACGGGAGGCAGCAGUGGGGAAGUUUGGACAAUGGGGGCAACCCUGAUCCAGCCAUGCCGCGUGAGUGAAGAAGGCCUUCGGGUUGUAAAGCUCUUUCGGCCGGGAAGAAAUCGCGCAGGCUAAUACUCUGUGUGGAUGACGGUACCGGCAUAAGAAGCACCGGCUAACUACGUGCCAGCAGCCGCGGUAA